rnacentral:lncRNA from 1 species
UUUUAUAAUAUCGUUUUUUGUAUUUUGUUUAAUUUGAUUUGGAUGAUAGAAGAUUGGCCCAUUACAAACCAACACAUGAAGAUAAAAAGUGAGUUUGAUGUGAUGGCAUACAUGAUCGUGAGAAUAAAAAUUGAGUUCUUAAUGGAUUUAUAAUUUUAUUUAAAGUAAGGCAAAAUAUUUAAAUUUGGGCAUUUAUUUAUGUUUCAUGCAAAUUAGAAAUAUGGAGUGGGUUUUUACUCUGUUAGAAAAUAAAAUAAGUAAGUUUUAUUUGAUAUCAAUAUUAUGAAUUUUAGAGCCUGCAAUAUAAAAAAAAAUAGUAUUACGUUUUUAACCAUAAAUAUACAUUAUGAAGUAAUGUCUUGGAUCAAAAUCCGGAGAGUUACAAUAUGGUAUGAGAGCAAUAAUCAUGUGACAAAUAUUUUUGGAUUAGGAUAUCAUGAACCAUAUAACGCAUCCAGAAUAUAACAAAGAAAACUUAGUUAUUGAAGAAUAAAUUCAUAUAAGGUUCGAUGAUAAAGAACUUGACAAUGAUACAUUAAAGCUACAAAACAAUAAAUAAUAUUUUUUAUGACGAAACUUUCACCUCGAACAAUAGAAAAUCGAGGUAUAAAGUCAAGGCCCAUUAUUUUUUAUUAUUUGACAAAAUAAAAAAAAAUCAUGGAUUCCCCCCGUUUUACAUAACACUGAGGUAAAAAAACAACUCAGUACAAGCACUCGAUUUUUAUUAUUUGUUUAUAGGUGUAAACAAAAUGUUCCAACCCUUCGGUUUUCUAUUUAACCGAGGUAUUUAAUCAUCAUAUUUUACUAUAAAAGCACUCGAUAAACAGAUUUUAUCCUAAGAUUUUUCUGCCCAUACAAUCUAUCUCACAUAAUGAAGGUGAUGUU